GACGAACGCUGGCGGCGUGCCUAAUACAUGCAAGUCGAGCGGAUCUUCAUUAGCUUGCUUUUGAAGAUCAGCGGCGGACGGGUGAGUAACACGUGGGCAACCUGCCUGUAAGACUGGGAUAACUUCGGGAAACCGGAGCUAAUACCGGAUAAUCCUUUCCCUCACAUGAGGGAAAGCUGAAAGACGGUUUCGGCUGUCACUUACAGAUGGGCCCGCGGCGCAUUAGCUAGUUGGUGAGGUAACGGCUCACCAAGGCAACGAUGCGUAGCCGACCUGGGAGGGUGAUCGGCCACACUGGGACUGAGACACGGCCCAGACUCCUACGGGAGGCAGCAGUAGGGAAUCUUCCGCAAUGGACGAAAGUCUGACGGAGCAACGCCGCGUGAGCGAUGAAGGCCUUCGGGUCGUAAAGCUCUGUUGUCAGGGAAGAACAAGUACCGGAGUAACUGCCGGUACCUUGACGGUACCUGACCAGAAAGCCACGGCUAACUACGUGCCAGCCGCCGCAGUAAAAC
rnacentral:rRNA from 1 species